rnacentral:lncRNA from 1 species
GCAACUCUAAGGGUAAAUAAUGAUGUAGAUAUUAUGCUUUGCCCUCGGUAACCCUCGGAAGUUUACGAGACUAUUGAGCGAUUUUCAGUUUGAUACAGGAACGGAGUACUUCUAUGAAAACAUGGGAGAUUAAGAAUUCUUUAUUUAUAUUUUUCGCAUUGAUUCGAUACUAAUGAUAAUUUGUGAGGUGUUUUUUAAUUUCUUUUACAUGAAAUACAAAUUAAAAAGAGUAAUGCAUCUUUGGAUUAUUUUCUGAUUGAAAAGGCGGUUUUAUUUCACCAUGUUCACAUUCGAAAUCGACGGCCGCUGUGAUAUUUUGUGAAGUUUACAGAUAGCCCAAUUCAACCAUGAUUCAUUGAGGAAAAACACAGCAAGUGGAAUAUUAUUUCAUAAUCCUUCAUUCUACGAUAUUGUUAUUUGAGAUAUAAUAGUAUUAUUCAUCACUAUUAUUUACUAUUUAUUCGUAAAUCAACACAGAAUCGUUGGCAUAUUUCAUACCAUGCGCUAAAGUAAACUAUAACACAAGUCUUAGGAAUAGAUUAGCGUAUAUAUUUCUUCAGCAAACAAUGCAUUAGUAAAAUGUGAUAUUAUAUAUAAUAAAUAAAAUGCAAUUCAUACUCUUAGUGUUUGGAACAAUUCUGCCUCUUGUCGUCAGCCAUAGAAUUCUGACAGCAAAGAAACAUGGAGCUGACGCCGUCCUAUUCAUUUUAUUUCCCGAGGAAGAUGUUCCAGCUGAAGCUUACAAACCCCUAGG